rnacentral:lncRNA from 1 species
UCAUGCUAGUUUCAUCAUGUUCAUAUGAUUCGCGUUCUUUACUUUGAUAGUUUGAUAUGUGGGUGGACUGGUGCUUGGGUACUGCCGUUACAUGGACAAGCAUCCCACUUAUGAUUAAUCUCUCUUGCAAGCAACCGCAACUACAAAAGAAGAAUUAAGACAAAGUCUAACCAUGGCAUUAAACUAGUGGAUCCAAAUCAGCCCCUCACGAAGCAACGCAUAGACUGGGGUUUAAGCUUCUGUCACUCGAGCAACCCAUCAUCUACUUACUACUUCCCAAUGCCUUCCCCUAGGCCCAAAUAUGGUGAAGUGUUAUGUAGUCGAUAUUCACGUAACACCACUAGAGGAAAAGACAACAUACAACAUAUCAAAAUACCGAACGAAUAUCAAAUGCACAUGACUAUUAUUAACAUGACUUAUCCCAUGUCCUUAGGAACAAAAGUAACUACUCACAAAACAUAAUCAUAAUCAUGAUCAGAGGUGUAAUGAAUAGCAUCAAGGAUCUGAACAUAAACUCUUCCACCAAAUAAUCCAACUAGCAUCAACUACAAAGAGUAAUCAACACUACUAGGAACCUUACAAGUACCAAUCGGAGUUGCAAGACGAAGAUUGGUUACAAGAGAUGAAAUAGGGAUUGGAGAGGAGAUGGUGCUGAUGAAGAUGUUGAUGAAGAUGCCUCCCCUCCGACAAGAGGAGUGUUGGUGAUGACGAUGGCGACGAUUUCCCCCCUCCGGGAGGGAAGUUUCCUCGGCACGAUCGUCCUGCCGGAGCUCUAGAUUGGAUCUGCUCAAGUUCCGCCUUGUGGCGGCCGCGAAACCACGAAAAAGCUCCCUAUUGAUUUUUUUUACAGACCAGGACGCUUCAUAUAGCAAAAGAGGGGGGCUAGUGGGCUGUCAGGCAGCCCACAAGCUUGCCCUGCCCCACCAGGGGGGUGGUGGCGGUGGGUAGGCUUGUGGAGCCCUGGUGGCCCCCCUCCGGUAGUUCUUUCACCCAGUAUUUUUUUGUAUAAUCCAGAAAAAAUCAGUGUAACUUUUCAGGGCAUUUGGAGAUGUGCAGAAUAGUGGACUAGGAUUUGCUCCUUUUCCAAUCCAGAAUUCCAGCUGCGUGAAUUCUCCUUCUUCAAAUAAACCUUGCAAAAUAAGAGAGAAAAGGCAUAAAUAUGGUACCACAAGUAAUAUAAAAGCCCAAAAAGCAAUAAAUAUCAACAUGAAAGCAUGAUGCAAAAUGGACGUAUCAACUCCCCCAAGCCUAGACCUCACUUGUCCUCAAGUGAAAACCAAGUUCCAUAAACAUGUCCACAUGUUGAGGGAUGAAGGUGUCGAUAAAACAUAAUACGGACUUGAGGGCAUCAUGAUCACACAUAGAACAACAAUACAUCAUAAAGUUUCUUAUGGGAAAGUAACAAUUCCUUCACAAAGCAAAGCAUGAAGCAAAAACCUUACCGAGAAGUAACCAACAAUAGUCCAUAGUCAUUGAAGCAAUUGCAAUUUAUCACAACAUCAGAAAGAGUCAACUAAGAGCUUGUAAGGCAAACCCACAUACUCAAUCAUCUCUUUUGUUUUCCACAAUUGUUACAACUCAUGUGGUGCUCAUGGUGUCAAAGUUUCAGCUGGACAUAGAGGAAGAUAGGGGCUUAUAGUUUUGCCUCCCAACCAUUUACCUCAAGGGUAAAGUCAAAAAUAAUAAAGCAUGAGUACUCAACUCCAAGUUGAUAUAUGAAUAUAGAUCUUUCCCAAACAUGUGACGGUAGCCAAGACAAAGGCAAAAAUAGGGAAUUGGUGUUGAUCACCAUGACUCUUACAAGGGUAAAAAGUAAAGGUACAAGAUAGGCCCUUUGCAGAGGGAAGCAGAGGUUGUCAUGCGCUUUUGAGGUUUGAAUGCGUGUCCUCUUAGUGUGGAGGAACGUCACCUUAUAUUGCCUCCGGUGAUAAAGAACUUUAUUAUGCAGUCUGUGCUUUUAUGUCUUCCUCAUCACAGGUUCGUACAACGCUUAUUUUCAACACACUAAUAGAUCAUACAUAUUAGAGAGCAAUUUUUAUUUCUUGCACCGAUGACAACUUACUUGAAGGAUCUUAUUCAAUCCAUAGGUAGGUAUGGUGGACUCUCAUGGCAAAACUGGGUUGGAGGUUUAUGGAUGCACAAGUAGUAUCUCUACUUGGUGCGGGAGUUUUGGCUAAUAUGAGGUGGAAGCAAUUGUCACAUGCUAAGGGAUCUCUAAUCAUAUAACAUUGUUUGGAACCAAGCAAACACAAUUCAUUAUGUUGUCUUCCUUCUCCAACAUCUACUCCUAGGCAUGUAAUAGUUUGGUGAGUGCUCACAAUUGUAAAAAGUGUCUAAGAUGAUAUAUUUAUAUGUGAACCUCUCUUUCCUUAUUACUUCUUAUUAAUUGCAACAAUGACUAAUGUCUAUGUUGAUUUAUUCUCAACAAGUUUCAAUCAUCAUACGUGUCAUAAGUGAUGUUAUCACUUUCCAUAAGAUCGUCUCAUGAUCUUUCAUGCUAUCGUUCUUUUCAUACUUUUGAUCAUGGCACAAAGCAAAGCCCUUGACUAAGACACUCUUUAUUAUAUAGCUCGUAAGCUGAAUACAUCGGGGGAGAGACAAAAGAAAAAGAAUCAAACUAAAAACUAAAGACUUAUUCCUCUAAAAGAAGAAAUAAAAACCGAAAAAGGAAAGAACUAAAACAAAGGUAAAAGCAAAAUAUAUAAAGGUGAUACGAUACCAGGGCAACUCCCCCAAGCUUGGCAGAAGCCAAGGGGAUUGCCCAUACCAAUGCUUAGUUGUCUUCAUUUGGUGGUGAUGGUGGUGUUGUUGGAGCAGUCUUCAGCUUGUCUAAUUUCCACUUGAGAAAAAAGUUCUGCUGCCUUUGAAUCUUGAGAAGACAUCUUGUCCUAGAUCUGCGUCAGAACAAGCUCCAAACGAAAACAGAGGAAAACUGCGCGAUACAGAGAUCAAAACCUUCGGGCGACUAUAUAUUGAUUUUUUCUGGGCCAGAAGGAGUCCUCCGCAAGAAAACGAAGUCCGGGAGGCACACAAGGUGCCCACAAGCUUCCCCUCCGCCACCAGGGGGGUAGGGGGCGGUGGCAGGGCUUGUGGCCGCCUCGUUUGCUCUCCGGACUGCUUUUUAUUUUUCUAAUUUUCCAAAAAUUCCAAAACGGAAGAAAUUUCCUAUUGGAAAAGUAUCGGAGUCCAAUUUCUUACCGAAACAGAUACAUCUUCGUUUUCAAGGUCUGAAACAGGCUGAUAAACAUCCCUUAUGUACUCCUCUCGAGUUAUGACAUUGAUAAUAUUGGUCUCAACAUUUAUGGGAGUACCAGAGAUGUAAUGCUUGAUUCUUUGCCCAUUUACCACUCUAGGAAAAUUUCCUUCCGCAUUAUAGAUUUUGAUGGCACUGGAACGAUAUACUUCCUCGACAACAUAGGGACCUUCCCAUUUAGAGAGAAGCUUGCCUGCAAAGAAUCUCAAACGAGAAUUGUAUAGCAAGACAUAAUCACCUACAUUGAACUCUCGUUUCUGUAUUCGUUUGUCGUGCGAUCUCUUAACCUUUUCCUUGAACAACCUAGCAUUCUCGUAUGCCUAGGCUCUCCAUUCAUCCAACGAGCUGAUAUCAAACAACCGCUUCUCACCGGCAAGUUUGAAAUCAAAGUUGAGCUCUUUGAUUGCCCAAUAAGCUUUGUGUUCCAUCUCAAGAGGUAAAUGACAGGCCUUACUGUAAACAUUUUAUAUGGUGACAUGCCCAUGGGAUUCUUAUAAGCAGUCCUAUAAGCCCAUAGUGCAUCGUCAAGUUUGCUAGACUAGUUCUUUCGAGAUCUAUUGACAGUCUUUUGUGGGAUCAACUUGAUCUCCCUAUUACUCAACUCCACUUGACCACUAGACUGAGGAUGAUAAGGAGAUGCAACUCUAUGGUUGACAUCAUACUUAGCUAGCAUCUUGCGGAAAACAUCAUGAAUGAAGUGUGAACCGCCAUCGGUCAUCAAGUAUCUAGGGACACCAAAUCUUGGGAAUAUGACUUCUUUAAGCAUCUUAAUAGAGGUGUGGUGAUCAGCAUUUUUAGUGGGGAUAGCUUCCACCCACUUAGUAACGUAAUCCACAGCAACUAAGAUGUGAGUGUACCCAUUGGAACUCAGGAAGGGUCCCAUGUAAUCAAAGCCCCAGACAUCAAAUGGUUCAAUGACAAGUGAAUAGUUCAUAGGCAUUUCCUGACGCUUACUGAUGUUCCCUAUCCUUUGGCAUUCGUCACAAGACAAGACAAACUUACGGGCAUCCUUGAAGAGAGUGGGCCAAUAGAAACCUGAUUGCAAUACCUUAUGGGCAGUUCUAUCUCCACCAUGGUGUCCUCCGUAGGCUUAGGAAUGACACUUCUACAAGAUUUGUCCUUGUUCAUGUUCAAGCACACAACGUCUAAUAACACCAUCUACUCCUUCCUUAUAAAGGUGAGGAUCAUCCAAAAAUAGCGUCUCAAAUCAAAGAACAAUUUCUUGUUUUGUUGAUAGGUGAAACUGGGUGGUACGUAUCUGGCUACGAUAUAGUUUGCAUAAUCGGCAUACCACGGUGCACUAAGUGAAGUGCGGAUGACAUUUAGUUGCUCAUCAGGAAAGCUGUCAUCAAUUGGUAGUGGGUCAUCAAGGACAUUCUCUAGCCUAGACAAGUUAUCUGCUACAUGGUUAUCAGCACCCUUUCGGUCAAUGACGUGCAAAUCAAAUUCAUGUAGCAGGAGAACCCAUCAAAUAAGCCUAGGCUUAGCAUCCUUCUUCUCCAUGAGGUACUUAAUAGCAGCAUGAUCAGAGUGAAUAGUGACUAUGGAGUCAACUUUGUAAGAUCUGAACUUUUCACAUGCAAACACGACUGCUAAAAAUUCCUUCUCUCUAGUAGCAUAGUUUCUUUGGGCACUGUCUAGAGUUUUACUAGCGUAGUGAAUGACAUUCAACUUCUUGUCAACUCUUUGUCCUAGAAUAGCACCAACAACAUUAUCACUAGCGUCGCACAUGAUUUCAAAGGGCAAGUUCCAGUCACGUGGUUGAACAAUAGGUGCGGUUAUCAAAGCCUUCUUAAGUAUUUCAAAAGCUUCCUCACAAUCCUCAUCAAAAACAAAAGGAACAUCCUUCUGCAAGAGGUUGGUAAGAGGCCUAGAAAUCUUAGAGAAGUCUUUAAUGAACCUUCUAUAUAAACCAGCAUGACCUAGGAAACUUCGUAUACCUGUGAUAUCUGUGGGGCAAGGCAUUUUCUCAAUUGCAUCAACCUUAGCCUUAUCAACUUCAAUGCCUCUUUCAGAGAUUUUGUGUCCUAAGACGAUACCUUCAUUAACCAUAAAGUGACACUUCUCCCAAUUCAAGACGUGAUUGGUUUCUUUGCAUCUCUGUAAGACUCGAUCAAGGUUGCUGAGGCAAUCAUCAAAGGAAGACCCGUAAACAGAGAAGUCAUCCAUGAAAACCUCGACGAUCUUUUCACAAAAGUCAGAGAAUAUAGCCAUCAUACAUCUUUGGAAGGUGGCAGGUGCAUUACAUAAGCCAAAAGUCAUACGUCUAUAGGCAAAGGUACGGAAAGGGCAGGUGAAAGUGGUUUUCUCUUGAUCAGAUUGUGCAACAGGUAUUUGCGAGAAACCUGAAUAACCGUCUAGAAAGCAGAAGUGUGUGUGCUUUGAUAGCCUUUCUAGCAUUUGGUCGAUGAACGGCAAAGGAUAAUGAUCUUUCCUGGUUGCCUUGUUCAGUUUCGGAAGUCUAUCACCAUUAUAGCCGGUAAUAAUCCUUUGUGGGAUUAGUUCAUCCUUAUAAUUAGGAAUGACGGUGAUACCUCCCUUCUUAGGUACGCAAUGUACUCUACUUACCCAAUCACUAUGAGCAACAGGAUAAAUGAUUCCUGCUUCCAGAAGCUUUAAUAUUUCUUUUCUAACGACCUCUUUCAUCUUAGGAUUUAAUCUCCUUUGAUGAUCAGCAACUGGUUUAAAGUCAGGAUUGGUUUUAAUCUUGUGCUAAUAUAGAGUAGGACUAAUACCCUUAAGAUCAUCAAGAGUAUAUCCAAUAGCAGCGCGGUGCUUCCUCAGAGUUUUUAGUAACUUCUUCUCUUCGCGCUCUGAGAGGAGAGCACUAAUAAUGACAUGAUAUAUCUCCUUCUCAUCCAGAUAGUCAUACUUAAGAGUAUCAGGCAACUGUUUAAGCUCAAACACAGGAUCACCCUUUGGUGGGGAGGAUCCCCAAGAAGUUCAACAGGCAGAUUAUUCUUGUGAAUAGGAUAUUAUUCUAAGACAAUUUUAUCUAUCUCAUCUCUCUCCUCCAUAUGCAUAUCAUUUUCGUGCUCAAGCAGAUAUUGCUGUAAAGGAUCCGUAGGAGGUACGGCAAUAAAGGCAAGAGCAAUGAUUUCAUCUCUACCAGACGACUCUCUUUCAUGGGUUUGUCUUCCAAACUUGGGGAAGUUAAAUUCAUGAGACACACCCUCGAAACUAACUGUGACAGUCUGCUUAAUGAAAUCAAUGUGAGCAUUGACAGUGUUGAGAAAGGGUCUACCAAAUAUGAUGGGACAAAAGCUAUCUCGUGCAGUACCAAGGACGAGGAAAUAAGUAGGAUACUUCGUCUUACCACACAGGACUUCUACGUCUCUCACAAUUCCCAGAGGGCAGAUAGUGUCUCUAUUAGCUAGCGUAAUAGUGACAUCAAUGGGUUCUAACUCAGCAGGUGCAAUCUCAUCUUUGAUUUCAUCAUAUAGAGAACGGGGUAUUGCACUAACACUAGCUCCCAUAUCACAUAAACCAUGGUAACAGUGAUCUCCUAUCUUAACAGAAACAACGGGCAGGCCAACUACAGGUCCGUGUUUGUCUUCGCGUGAGGUUUAGCAAUUCUAGCGGAGUCCUCACAUAAUUUGAUAACAUGCCCAUCUAUGUCUUCAGCUAAGAGAUCUUUGAUAAUAGCAACACUAGGUUCAACUCUAAUCUCUUUAGGGGGUGCAAGUGGUCUAAUGUAACCCCUACGUAUCACAGUUGGAGCUUUAUAAUAAUCCUUUAUCCUAGUAGGGUAUAGCGGUUUCUCAGUGUAAGCACAAGGAACAACAGGAUCACUAAAAGCAAUGACUUUCUCCUCAACUAGAUUGGUUUUGUCUAUGUUGCUUUCUACAGGAGGAUGAUAUUUAAACCACUUCUCUUUGUGAAGAUCAACAUGAGCAGCAAAAGAUUCACAUAGAGAAGCAACUAUCUCAGAGUCAAGUCCAUACUUAGCGCUAAAAUCUCUAGAAGUGUUUGUCUCAACAAAAGAUUUAACGCAAUCAAACUGGAAAUUCAUACCUGACUCCUUACCUUCCUCCAGCUCCCAAUCUUCAGAGUUGCGUUUGAUUCUCUCCAAUAAAUUCCACUUGCGAUCAAUAUCCUUCUUCAUAAAAGAACCGGCACAAGAAGUGUAAAGCAUGGUACGAUCUUCAUGAGAAAGCCGAGCAUAAAAGUUUGGAGUGAUGAUUUCUCUCGAGAGCUCAUGAUUGGGGCAUGAAUAUAGCAUUGAUUUAAGUCUCCCCCAAGCUUGAGCUAUGCUUUCCCUGUCACGAGGCCAAAAGUUAUAAAUAAAAUUCCGAUCACGAUGUACUAAAUGCAUAGGAUAGAACUUUUGAUGAAAUUCCAAUUUCAACCGAUUGUAGCCCCAUGAUCCAGUAUCAUCACAUAGCCUAUACCAUCUCAACGCCUUAUCCUUCAAAGAUAAAGGAAAUAUUUUCUUCUUUACCUCAUGCCCGGGCAAACCUACAAGCUUAAAUAAACAACAAACUUCAUCUAUAUAGAUUAGAUGCAAGUCUGGAUGUGAAGAUCCAUCUCCUGUGGAAGGAUUAGCCAGCAGUUUCUCAAGCAUACCCGAAGGAAUUUCAUAAAAGAUAUUUUCAGUAGGUACCUCAGGUUGAGGAGCAACUUCUCGUGCUUCCGUUCGUGGUGAAGAUACCCCGAAAAAACUCCUCAAAGGAACAGUUUCCAUAGUGACAAGUGACAAUAAAUUUCAGCACAGUAUAAAAAUGUUGCCUUACCAAAUUCCACUUACCAAAGGCGCUUCACUCCCCGGAAACGGCGCCAGAAAAGAGUCUUGAUGACCCACAAGUAUAGGGUAUCAAACAUAGUCCUUUCUAUAAGUAAGAGUGUUGAACCCAACGAGGAGCACAAGGAUCUGAUAAACGGAUUUCAGCAAGGUAAUAACUGCAAGCACUGAAAGUAGCGGUAACAAGUGAUUUUGUAGCGAGGUGAAACNUCAUAUGAUUCGCGUUCGUUACUUUGAUAGUUUGAUAUGUGGGUGGACCGGCAGUUGGGUACUGCCAUUACUUGGACAAGCAUCCCACUUAUGAUUAAUCUCUCUCACAAGCAUCCGCAACUACAAAAGAAGAAUUAAGACAAAGUCUAACCAUAGCAUUAAACUAGUGGAUCCAAAUCAGCCC